rnacentral:rRNA from 1 species
AGCGAACGCUGGCGGCAGGCCUAACACAUGCAAGUCGAACGAACUCUUCGGAGUUAGUGGCGGACGGGUGAGUAACACGUGGGAACGUGCCUUUAGGUUCGGAAUAACUCAGGGAAACUUGUGCUAAUACCGAAUGUGCCCUUCGGGGGAAAGAUUUAUCGCCUUUAGAGCGGCCCGCGUCUGAUUAGCUAGUUGGUGAGGUAAAGGCUCACCAAGGCGACGAUCAGUAGCUGGUCUGAGAGGAUGAUCAGCCACAUUGGACUGAGACACGGCCCAAACUCCUACGGGAAGCAGCAGUGGGGAAUCUUGCGCAAUGGGCGAAAGCCUGACGCAGCCAUGCCGCGUGAAUGAUGAAGGUCUUAGGAUUGUAAAAUUCUUUCACCGGGGACGAUAAUGACGGUACCCGGAGAAGAAGCCCCGGCUAACUUCGUG